AAGUCGGGCGGUAACAGGAAAGUGCCUGCACUUUUGCUGACGAGCGGCGGACGGGUGAGUAAUGUCUGGGGAUCUGCCCGAGGGCGGGGGAUAACCACUGGAAACGUGGCUAAUACCGCAUAAUGUCGCGAGACCAAAGUGGGGGACCUGAAAGGGCCUCACGCCGUCGGAUGAACCCAGAUGGGAUUAGCUGGUAGGUAGGGUAAUGGCCUACCUAGGCGACGAUCUCUAGCUGGUCUGAGAGAUGACCAGCCACACUGGGAGACACGGCCCAGACUCCUACGGGAGGCAGUCAGUGGGGAAUAUUGCACAAUGGGCGCAACCUGAUGCAGCCAUGCCGCGUGUAUGAAGAAGGCCUUCGGUAAAGUACUUUCAGCGGGGAGGAAGGGUUUAGCUGAAGAGGGUUGGACUUUGACGUUACCCGCAGGGACUUAAGAAGCACCGGCUAACUCCGUGCCAGCAGCCGAAUACGGAGGGUGCAAGCGUUAAUCGGAAUGACUAAAGCGCACGCAGGCGGUCAAUUAAGUUAGAUGUGAAACCCGGGCUAAGCCUGGGAAUACUAAGACUGGUUGACUGGAGUCUCGUAGAGGGGGGUAGAAUUCCAUGUGUAGCGGUGAAUGCGUAGAAUGUGGAGGAAUACCGGUGGCGAAGGCGGCCCCCUGGACGAAGACUGACGCUCAGGUGCGAAACGUGGGGAGCAAACAGGAUUAGAUACCCUGGUAGUCCACGCUGUAAACGAUGUCGAUUUGGAGGUUGCGGUC
rnacentral:rRNA from 1 species